rnacentral:lncRNA from 1 species
ACACACCUGAAAGAAACUAGUGGUGAGUUCUUUCCUUAUAAUAAUGUGACAUAAAAGACCUACCUGUGUGUUAUUUUUCUUUGUCUUCAGGUGACAAGUCUAAAGAAAUCCUGGAAACUGAUCCUUGGAGGUUUUUCCACAUGAGGCAGAACCCUGGAAAAUCAUGGUUCUGACUCAGAUAGACAUUCAUCAACAGCAGAGGUUAUCCACUUCUGAAAGCCUCCAACGUGUACAAGGGACAAGGAACCAGGGACAGAGAGAGGCAGGAUUAAUGUGCCCUGUCAUAAGGGGUGGCAUCCCAUCAGCCCCAGCCAGCAGACUUCUUCAUGGGAUUGGUAGACCCAAAUAUCUGGUGGACUGCAGUUCCUCACCCCCGAUUUAAUGCAAUAUUAAGGAGUGUCUGGCUUCAAACUGCACAUUCAAGACCAAAGAAGAAUUUCCAUUCAGCCCUGUUCCAGGUUGAGCACAACAGCUCUAUGUACUGGUAAACAAUCUUUUUCUUCUUUUUGUGACACCAUAGAAAGAUACCUAGUGAGUCAUGACUUUCCUGGGGAUAAAACCUGGCUACCAUCUGAAGUGCUCUGACAGCCGAACUCUAUGAGUCCCACUAGAUUUUAAUGCCAAGUCAACCACUGUGGAAAUUUCCUUUUCUAAUUUUGCAGCUGAGAUUUAUUACCAAGUCUCAGCAGUUUGAGGGCCAUUCUUAUCUCAGGGCUUACCACUCCAGUGAGCUCUACUAAACUCCAGUCUUCUGAUAUUCUACUCAAACUAUGGAAAAACUGAGGCACUUUGGGAUUCAGAUUGAGGAAGACAAAGGGUAAGCUAAAGCAACAAGCAAAGGAGGAAAGGAUGUGCCAUUAAUACUCUUUAUUUUACCCUUGCUUUUGAAAGGGCUUUA